rnacentral:lncRNA from 1 species
AUGUGCCCGAUUCCAAGAGUUGUCAUUAAAAAAGGAGCUCAGAGUUCACUUCCUCAGAACUUAUUAGAAGAGGAGGAGGAACUCAUGCAUGCAAGCAGUGGCUUGUGGUGUACCUGUACUGGAAAUGGUAGGAGCCCAGCAGAAACUUAA